CCCUUAGAUGUUCUGGGCAGCACGCGCGCUACAAUGGUCUUCGCAAACGGAUGCAUUCUCGAAGGAGAAUGCCAAUCUUGGAAUCUAUGCCUUGGUCGGGACAGUUGCUUGCAAUUUUUCGACUCGAACCAGGAAUUCCUUGUAAUCGUGAUUCAUCACAUCACGAUGAAUACGUCCCUACCCUUUGUACACACCGCCCGCCGCUCCUACCGAUCGAAGAGUUAGGUGAAUUGUUUUGAUCGAUAAGAUUUGACUAUGGUCAACUCUCGUUGUGAAAUUCUGUGAAUCUGACUGUUUAGAGGAAGGAAAAGUCGUAACA
rnacentral:rRNA from 1 species